AUUGAACGCUGGCGGCAGGCCUAACACAUGCCAGUCGAGCGGAUGAAGGGAGCUUGCUCCUGGAUUCAGCGGCGGACGGGUGAGUAAUGCCUAGGAAUCUGCCUGGUAGUGGGGGAUAACGUCCGGAAACGGGCGCUAAUACCGCAUACGUCCUGAGGGAGAAAGUGGGGGAUCUUCGGACCUCACGCUAUCAGAUGAGCCUAGGUCGGAUUAGCUAGUUGGUGGGGUAAAGGCCUACCAAGGCGACGAUCCGUAACUGGUCUGAGAGGAUGAUCAGUCACGCUGGAACUGAGACACGGUCCAGACUCCUACGGGAGGCAGCAGUGGGGAAUAUUGGACAAUGGGCGAAAGCCUGAUCCAGCCAUGCCGCGUGUGUGAAGAAGGUCUUCGGAUUGUAAAGCACUUUAAGUUGGGAGGAAGGGCAGUAAGUUAAUACCUUGCUGUUUUGACGUGACCAACAGAAUAAGCACCGGCUAACUUCGU
rnacentral:rRNA from 1 species